rnacentral:snRNA from 1 species
AUACUUACCUGUCAGGGGAGACACCAUGAUCGUGGAGGUGGUUUUCCCAGGGUGAGGUUCAUCCACUGCACUCUGGGUGUGCUGACCUCUGCACUUUCCCCAAAUGCAGAAAAUUCAACUGCGUAAUUUGUGGUACUGGGGAGAAAAACAAAUCCUUG